CGAGUACGAGAUGCUACGGCAUCGAAGCAGUCUAUGUCAUACUUCCAAGAAAAGCUCGCACUGUCAAAAACAAAUUAAUGCCUGUACCAUAACCGACACAGGUGGGUAGGUAGAGUAUACUAAGGGGCGCGAGAUAACUCUCUCUAAGGAACUCGGCAAAAUAACUCCGUAACUUCGGGAGAAGGAGUGCCUUUUUAAGGCUGCAAUAACCAGAUCCAAGCAACUGUUUAUCAAAAACACAGGUCUCCGCUAAGUCGUAAGACGAUGUAUGGGGGCUGACGCCUGCCCAGUGCCAGAAGGUUAAAGAAGUUGGCUAGCCCUGCGAAGCUGAUGACUGAAGCCCUGGUGAACGGCGGCCGUAACAAUAACGGUCCUAAGGUAGCGAAAUUCCUUGUCGGGUAAGUUCCGACCCGCACGAAAGGCGUAAUGAUUUGGAUACUGUCUCGGAGAGGGACUCGGUGAAAUAGACUUGUCUGUGAAGAUGCGGACUACCUGCACCAGGACAGAAAGACCCUAUGAAGCUUUACUGUAACUUGAGAUUGAAAUUGGACUUUAUUUGCGCAGUAUAGGUGGGAGGCUUUGAAAGUAUUCUUGCGGGAAUAGUGGAGCCAUCAGUGAGAUACCACUCUUGUAAUGUUAGAUUUCUAACUUUGUAUCAUUAUCUGGUCAAAGAACAGUCUCAGGCGGGCAGUUUGACUGGGGCGGUCGCCUCCCAAACGGUAACGGAGGCGCACAAAGGUUUCCUCUGAACGGGUAGAAAUCGUAUCUAGAGUGUAAAGGCAUAAGGAAGCUUGACUGUGAGACCUACAAGUCGAGCAGGGACGAAAGUCGGUCUUAGUGAUCUGACGGUGCUGAGUGGAAAGGCCGUCACUCAACGGAUAAAAGUUACUCUAGGAUAACAGGCUGAUCUCCCCCAAGAGUUCACAUCGACGGGGAGGUUUGGCACCUCGAUGUCGGCUCAUCGCAUCCUGGGGCGGUAGUACGUCCCAAGGGUUGGGCUGUUCGCCCAUGAAAGCGGUACGCGAGCUGGGUUCAGAACGUCGUGAGACAGUUCGGUCCAUAUCCGGUGUAGGCGUUAGAAUAUUGAGAGGAGCCUUCUUUAGUACGAGAGGACCGAGAAGGACAUACCUCUGGUGUACCAGUUAUCGUGCCAACGGUAAACGCUGGGUAGCUAUGUAUGGAGUGGAUAACCGCUGAAAGCAUCUAAGUGGGAAGCCCACCUCAAGAUAAGUAUUCUC
rnacentral:rRNA from 1 species